AUGUUGAGAGUUUGUGCGCUAGAUUAUGGAUCUAAUUGGGAUGAUAAUUUGCCUUAUGCAGAGUUCUCAUACAACAACAUCUACCAAGCCAGUUUGAAGAUGGCACCCUUCGAAGCCUUGUAUGGAAGGAGGUGCAGGACACCGUUAAUGUGGGAUGAAGUUGGACACCGUCAGUUGUUUGGACCGGAUUUGAUUAAAGAGUCCGAAGAGAAGGUUAAGUUGAUUCGAGAUAGACUGAAGGUAGCUCAGUCUAGGCAGAAGAGUUAUGCAGACUCAAAACGCAAGGAGGUAGUCUAUGAAAUCGGAGACAGAGCAUAUCUUCGUGUGGAACCUCUGCGAGGAGUUAAACGAUUUGGAGUUAAGGGAAAGUUAGCCCGAGAUUUGUAG
rnacentral:rRNA from 1 species